GAGGAAUAUUGGACAAUGGGCGCAAGCCUGAUCCAGCCAUGCCGCGUGCAGGAUGACGGUCCUAUGGAUUGUAAACUGCUUUUAUACAGGAAGAAACCCUUGCUCGUGAGCAAGACUGACGGUACUGUAGGAAUAAGGAUCGGCUAACUCCGUGCCAGCAGCCGCGGUAAUACGGAGGAUCCAAGCGUUAUCCGGAAUCAUUGGGUUUAAAGGGUCCGUAGGCGGCCUUAUAAGUCAGUGGUGAAAUCCCGCAGCUCAACUGUGGAAUGGCCAUUGAUACUGUAGGGCUUGAAUUAUAGUGAAGUAACUAGAAUAUGUAGUGUAGCGGUGAAAUGCUUAGAUAUUACAUGGAAUACCCAUUGCGAAGGCAGGUUACUAACUAUGGAUUGACGCUGAUGGACGAAAGCGUGGGGAGCGAAC
rnacentral:rRNA from 1 species